rnacentral:rRNA from 1 species
AUGCCAGAAGAAUGGAGACGGAGUAUAUUAGUACCAGUCUUCAAGAACAAGGGGGAUGUUCAGAGUUGUACUAAUUACCGUGGAAUUAAGCUGAUGAGCCAUACAAUGAAGCUAUGGGAGAGAGUCAUUGAGCACCAGUUAAGAAUGACAAGCGUGACCAAAAAUCAGUUUGGUUUCAUGCCUGGGAGGUCGACCAUGGAAGCCAUUUUCUUGGUACGACAACUUAUGGAGAGAUAUAGGGAGCAUAAGAAGGACUUGCAUAUGGUGUUCAUUGACUUGGAGAAGGCCUAUGAUAAGAUACCGCGGAAUGUCAUGUGGUGGGCCUUGGAGAAACACAAAGUCCCAGCAAAGUACAUUACCCUCAUCAAGGACAUGUACAAUAAUGUUGUGACAAGUGUUCGAACAGGUGAUGUCGACACCGAUGACUUCCCGAUUAAGAUAGGACUGCAUCAGGGGUCAGCUUUGAGCCCUUAUCUUUUUGCAUUGGUGAUGUAUGAGGUCACAAGGGGUAUACAAGGAGAUAUCCCAUGGUGUAUGCUCUUUGCGGAUGAUGUGGUGCUAGUUGACGAUAGUCGGACGGGGGUAAAUAGGAAGUUAGAGUUAUGUAGACAAACCUUGGAAUCGAAAGGGUUUAGGCUUAGUAGAACUAAAACCGAGUACAUGAUGUGCGGUUUCAGUAAUACUAGCUGUGAGGAGGAGGAGGUUAGCCUUGAUGGCCAGGUGGUACCUCGGAAGGACACCUUUCGGUAUUUGGGGUCAAUGUUGCAGGAGGAUGGGGGUAUUGAUGAAGAUGUGAACCAUCGAAUCAAAGCCGGAUGGAUGAAGUGGCGCCAAGCUUCUGGCAUUCUCUGUGACAAGAGAGUGCCACAAAAGCUAAAAGGCAAGUUCUACAGGACGGCCGUUCGACCCGCAAUGUUGUAUGGCGCGGAGUGUUGGCCGACUAAAAGGCGACAUGUUCAACAGUUAGGUGUGGCGGAGAUGCAUAUGUUGAGAUGGAUGUGUGGUCACACGAGGAAGGAUCGAGUCCGGAAUGAUGAUAUACGAGAUAGAGUUGGGGUAGCACCAAUUGAGGAGAAGCUUGUCCAACAUCGUUUGAGAUGGUUUGGGCAUAUUCAGCGCAGGCCUCCAGAAGCUCCAGUGCAUAGCGGACGGCUAAAGCGUGCGGAGAAUGUCAAGAGAGGGCGG